rnacentral:lncRNA from 1 species
AUGUGCUGGCUGAAAUUUCUGCAACAGUCUCUACCUCCCAUAUUGGGCUUGUUCUACCUCCUGGAGAUCUCCUACUGCUCACUGGUGGCCACCCCACCCUUUGAUGUGAAGAGGAAGAUUGUGCAGGACCUCAGAGACCUAUAAUGUAAUGGGGAGCCCUGAUGAUUUGUGCAGACAGCAGCAUGCAGGCACAGAUGCUGCCAGAGCAAGGUAAGACUGACAAUCUCUCUUCUCAUGCCAGGACUUUAAGGAACAGAUUAUCCACCACAUUGUGACCAUCACUCUGAUCUUUGUCUCCUACUGUGCCAGUAUGAUAUGGUUAGGGAUGAAAAUCAUGCUGGUGCAUGAUGCCUCUGAUUAUAUUUUAGAUGUGCAUUACCCUCACCUGGAAAUCGUGGAAUCACAGAAUGGUUUGACUAAAAAAGGACAUUAAAGCCCAUCUCAUUCCAACCCCUCUAGUGGAACACUUUCCACUAGUUCAGAUUUCUCCAAGACCCAUUCAACCUACCCAGAGGAUAGGGCAACCACAGCUUCUCUGACCAACCUGUGCCAGAGCUUCACCACCCUUUGAGUAAAUUUCUUCCUGCCAUCUAAUCUAAAUCUCUC